rnacentral:rRNA from 1 species
UACAGAGGUCUCAAGCGUUGUUCGGAAUCACUGGGCGUAAAGGGUGCGUAGGCGGCGGGGAAAGUCAGAUGUGAAAUCCGGGAGGCUCAACCUCCGAAAUGCAUCCGAUACUCCCUCGCUAGAGAUUUGUAGAGGAGUCUGGAAUUCUCGGUGUAGCAGUGAAAUGCGUAGAUAUCGAGAAGAACGCUCGCAGCGAAGGCGAGACUCUGGGCAAAUUCUGACGCUGAUGCACGAAGGCUAGGGGAGCAAACGGG